AACAAAGUUGGAGGCAUCAUGCUACCUGACUUCAAACUGCAAGACUACAGUAACCAAAUCAACAUAGCACUGGUACAAUAACAAACACAUAGACCAAUGGAACAGAAAAGAGAACCCAGAAAUAAGGUCACACAUGUACAACU